AUUCAAAAAGAAGAUCAUCCAACAAUGCAGAAAGCUUCCCUCCAUCACUGAGCUUGAGGAACUCCUGAUGGCAGCUGACCCUCCUGAGGAUGGGGCUGAAGUGAACGUUGACUUUGGUUGGGACAGUGACCUCUCAUCGAUUUUGCUGCUCUUACACUUGAUCCCACCGACUGCUCUAGGUCGGAAGAGGCCAGGAAAAGUUUCUGCAUCCCGGGCUGAGAAGCAUCUUGUGACUGGAACAAGCAUCCAAGAACAUC